UUGAAUUACUGAAGGGCGAUCCAGCAGUAACAAAGUUAUAUCAGGAGCCACUGGGUAGUCCAUAGCAGCUUAAAGUAAAUUCCGCCAAAAUUACAAGUUGAGUAACUAGUUGCACAACUUGUAAUCCGCCAUAAAAUUUACCGCAUGACAAAUUUAACAGCAAGAAUCAACAUCAAUCAACUUCAACAUCAUUAUCAACUUCGAUGUCAUUAUCAACAUCAUAAUCAAUUUCAACAUCAUUAUCAACUCAACAUCAUUAUCAACUUCAACAUUAUUAUCAACUUCAAUAUUAUCAACUUCAAUAUUGUCAACUUCAAUAUUGUCAACUUCAAUAUUAUUAUCAACUUCAAUAUUAUCAACUACAACAUUAUUAUCAACUACAACAUUAUUAUCAACUACAACAUAUUAUCAACUUCAAUAUUAUCAACUUCAAUAUUAUCAACUUCAACAUUAUUAUCAACUUCAAUAUUAUCAACUACAACAUUAUUAUCAACUUCAACACAAACAUCAAAAAGUUCAAUAUCAACUUAAAUUCAAUACUUUGAACUUCAUUAAAUUGAUAUUCAUGUGGCAACAUCAACAUAAACUUCAGCUAAAAUGCAAUACUGUCAACAUCUAAGCUAUGUUAUUCAUUGUAAGGGAAAACCAAACAAUGAGGAAAUUUAAAGAAAAUAUAUACAUAACAUUUUCAGAGCUCCUUGAAUCUGAUUUAGGAAUACACCCAACUAUCUCUAAUCCAAACGAUGCACAUAUAAGCUUAAUAUGACAGCUCCUAUAACAAUAAAAGAGCCAAUUACCCAAAUAUCAUUCAGGUACCCUGAAAUAAAGUGUUUCAACUAUACAAUGCAAGGUUUGUUUUUGCAUAACCUUUUUUAAAGUGUAUGAAAAUGUCCAUCGUCUUUGUGUCUCAGCAAUGUAGUCCGACAUCAACCGGACAGGACAAAUUGAAGUAGUUUAUUCUUUUCCAGAAUUGUCGUUACUGAAUUACCCAGCUGAUCUGUUUGCUAAGAAGGAACUUUUAUAAUAACUUAAGUGACCCUGAAUAAGCAUCAAAUUAUAUCUUGGAUCGUUUUACAAUAAGAUUUUCAUUAAAAUUUGAAUUUGCAAUUACUCCAAAACUAAGAAACCCAAAAUUCUAGCUGAAAAUGAAGCUUUGAAUAAACAUGUUUCAUAUACUGAAUAACAAACUAAAUUAAGCGCAUCUAAAAGUCUAGUUAAUAUACCAAUAGUAAUAGGCUUACGACAGACGUGUCGCUUAUGUCACUGAGCAUCUUUUGAACAAUAAAAGAAUGAGUGUUGUCCAAUAAACCAUUGAUCUUAUGAUUAAACCUAAUGCCUGAAAGGUACGCAUUCCCAGUGGAAUAAGAAUAUUCAUCUUUAAACAUGUCAGCUACUAUUAACUAAAUGUGAAACGGGGCAUGGCCAUACGUCAUACAGGUUUAGUUUAUGUUUAAAGUUUUGAAAUUAAUUUAGUCCAUUUGAUACGCAAGCCAAGUAUUUGAAUAACUCUUGCACUACCGAUGAAGAGAUUUAAAACAGAACUCGACAACCACUUGUCACUCAAAAUAUAAGAAAUGCCAUUAUAAUUUCUAAAAUUAUUUUCCAAACACGUAGAUUAGAAAUAGGUCGAUAAUAAAAAGGCCCCGCAAUUCUACCAUUUCAAUUCACUCAUGAUUUUUCCAAGCUAAAUUUGGAUCUUGUAAAACAGACUUUAAUAUUUUGCUUGUAUGAUGUGCUCGAAAACCAUAUUUAAAACCAUUAUAUAAUAAGUUUUGCCAACAUUUUAACGGGGUAGUCAGUCAACAUAUUCCUUUAAACCGUAGUAUUAACAGGGGAACAACCAAAAAUACCAAAUAUCAUACGGUGAUUGCAAGCUGUAAACAAAAUUAUAAAAUUUGAAAUGAUUAAAUUGCAUCCGUGGAACAUUUGCCUGCUCACAGGGAAAUCUUUAAUUAUUUAUCGAAAAACGAGUAUUUGGGUUAAAAUUUCCAUGUGUAUUCAAAAAACCUGUUUGACUGCUCUAGCACUGGACUGAUACCUUGGUGCAAAAUUGUUUGCAUCAGGUGCCCUAGGGUAGUUUUAAUACCUAGGAGCAGAAUAGUCCGAAGUUACAGAACUUCGAGGAUUAUUCUUGUUAUAUGAAUAAUUUGUACAGUACAGCGAAGGAUGGAACUGGCUACAUCUUAUACCUGAAUUCAUGGCUGUAUACACAAUUCAUACGAGUACAAACGGCCUUAAAAUUAUAAUCGUAGCAAGGACUAAUAACUGUGUGAGAAGUAUAAGAAGAUGUCUGUGGAACAUGAUUUAUGCCUACUGCAAUAAACUGAAGCCAUAGCUGCCCAUCAAUGCCGUCCCAUGUACGCAUAUGAUCACGAGCUUUUCUAAGUCGAAAUUGCAUGUCAAAUUUAUAAACGUUCUCAAAAGGUACACCCCCUUAUAAUCGUCAUGUAGCUAAUCAAUUCAUUUGCCAAUUCCGGGAAUCUUUGCAAUAAAAUUUUCAUAUAAUUUAAAAACCCUUCAGUCCACUCACCUAAGUUAGAUAAUGAUUUACUUUUGAAUAUUUGUUUCUGUCAAUUAAAAUGUCUCCAUCUUCAUCAAAACCGAGCACUUUUUUCGGUUGAUCAAUUUUUGAAACAAAAUGUUUUUGUAAAGUAAUUGUGCCAAAUCAACAUAUUCUAAAUUUCAUAUUUGGUUUAUAAUUUUUUUUGUGGUACAAACACAUCAACAUCAUUACUAGUAGGUAUAACUAAAUUCUCACCGUUUUGUACAGAAUUACGAGCUGUGGGCUGCCCUGGGUGUACACAUCCCUGAUCAGGAACUUGUUGUUCAGCGGGCUGCAGAGGAAGUUUGAAGUUCAAAUGAGUUGUGGUUGUAGAAUUGGCUGUAGUGGUACAAACGGCUGUUGUGGUAAUAACUGCUGUUGUGGUUAUAACUGAUGUGGUGGCAAUAACUGAUGUGGUGGCAUUAAUGGCUGUUGUGGCAUUAAUGGCUGUUGUGGUGGCAUUAAUGGCUAUUGUGGUGGUAUUAAUGGCUGUUGUGGUGGUAUUAACGGCUGUUGUGGAAUGGUUAUAUUUUGUCUUACAAUUUCAGCUCUCUUUGGGCGAAGCCUUCUGUUUACCGGUAGCUUUAUUUGAUUUUGCCUACGUACAGCACGAUUUGGCAGCACCCUCUCCCCUUUUCCUCUCGGCAUACUGGCUUAAACAAAUAAUUACAAUGUUAGUCAAUGCAUUAGUAAAAUAUUAUAUCAUUUGUCAAUGUUAUAUCCCUUAAUCAAACAAUUCAAUCAAUAUUGAAAUACAAAUAUUUCAAUUUUUACCAUUGACUAAUUAGUAUUAAGAUACAAUGGCAAUAACCAAAGUAGAAAAAGCCGCAAAUGCUUGAUUGUGGCUGUCAAUGUCCAGUGGCAGAUAUUUCAAGUAUACUCAUAAUGAUAAUAUCAUAUUGAUAACGAAAGUCAUAAAAUAAAAUAAUUAUUGUAUCUACCGAAUAUCAAUUGAAGUGGCCUUCGUUAAUGAGAAAUAUUCCUAUCCUAUAAUCGACUAUAAUACAUGAAAACUAUGAAACAAUUAAAUCGAAAAGUAUAUAUAUUUAAAUAGUCAACUAACAUCCUUGAUGGCUCGCAAAAGUUUACAAAAAGAAAUGAUUCAUUAGGUACGGAAAGUGAUUUUUUUUUUU
rnacentral:lncRNA from 1 species